GACUCCAGGGACCGAAAGGAUUCCACCUGGAAUGUAGAGGGGUCUACUUCCUCCUUCCUGGGCAGAGAGGCGUCUCCGUUGUCCCUUCCGGGCACCUCGGAUAAUAACCACCCAGAGAAAGACCUCUCCGAGAGACACUUUCGGUUUGAUAAGACAUGGAAGAACGACAGCAGGAUGUAUCCCAAGUAUGAUUUCCGAGAUGAGCGUCCCAUGAAGCCG